rnacentral:rRNA from 1 species
UACAGAGGUCUCAAGCGUUGUUCGGAUUCAUUGGGCGUAAAGGGUGCGUAGGUGGCGGAGUAAGUCAGGUGUGAAAUCUCGGGGCUCAACCCCGAAACUGCACUUGAUACUGCUUUGCUUGAGUACUGGAGAGGAGAUUGGAAAUUUACGGUGUAGCAGUGAAAUGCGUAGAUAUCGUAAGGAAGACCAGUGGCGAAGGCGAAUCUCUGGACAGUUACUGACACUGAG